AUUGAACGCUGGCGGCAGGCCUAACACAUGCAAGUCGAGCGGAUGAAGGGAGCUUUCUCCUGGAUUCAGUGGCGGACGGGUGAGUAAUGCCUAGGAAUCUGCCUGGCAGUGGGGGAUAACGUCCGGAAACGGGCGCUAAUACCGCAUACGUCCUGAGGGAGAAAGGGGGGGAUCUUUGGACCUCACGCUAUCAGAUGAGCCUAGGUCGGAUUAGCUAGUUGGUGGGGUAAAGGCGUACCAAGGCGACGAUCCGUAACAGGUCUGAGAGGAUGAUCAGUCACACUGGAACUGAGACACGGUCCAGACUCCUACGGGAGGCAGCAGUAGGGAAUAUUGGGCAAUGGGCGAAAGCCUGAUCCAGCAAUGCCGCGUGUGUGAAGAAGGUCUUCGGAUUGUAAAGCACUUUUAGUUGGGAGGAAGAGCAGUAAAUUAAUACCUGGCUGUUUUGACGUUACCAAAAGAAUAAGCACCGGCUAACUUCGUG
rnacentral:rRNA from 1 species